AGGAAAAGAAACUAACAAAGGUUCCCCUAGUAACGGCGAGUGAACCGGGAAGAGCUNCAAAUUUNGAAAUNCUGGCGUGCUCAGUGCGUCCGAGUUGUAAUCUAUAGAGUCGUUUUCCGUGCCGGACUGUGUCCAAGUCCCUUGGAACAGGGUAUCAAAGAGGGUGAUAAUCCCGUACUUGACACAAUGACCGGUGCUCUGUGAUACGUCUUCUACGAGUCGAGUUGUUUGGGAAUGCAGCUCAAAAUGGGUGGUGAGUUCCAUCUAAAGCUAAAUAUUGGCGAGAGACCGAUAGCGAACAAGUACCGUGAGGGAAAGAUGAAAAGCACUUUGGAAAGAGAGUUAAACAGUACGUGAAAUUGUUAAAAGGGAAACGAUUGAAGUCAGUCGUGACUGAGAGGCUCAGCCGGUUCUGCCGGUGUAUUCCCCUCAGUCGGGUCAACAUCAGUUUUGUUCGGUGGAUAAGGGCAGUUGGAAGGUGGCACCCUCGGGUGUGUUAUAGCCAGCUGUCGCAUACAUCGGAUGASACUGAGGAANUGCANGCUCGCCUUUAUGGCCGGGGUUCGCCCACGUUCGAGCUUAGGAUGUUGACAAAUGGGCUUUAAACGACCCGUC
rnacentral:rRNA from 1 species